UCGAUUGAACUACCUGCAGGGUCCCUGUAACAACAUCAUCUGCUUUUAAACAAAACUGCUGUGUUUGAGGGUUUGUUUUGUUCAGAAAUAAACACAACUUCUCCGUUUGGAAUUAGUGUAAAUAUUUCCCCAGCGGGGAGAUACUUUGUGUCUGUUCUAAAGAAGAGAUAUUUUGUAACCGAUACAUAUUUUCCUGCUGACGUCACAGAGAGUGGGGAGAUACUUUGUAACAAUUCGCGGAUAUUUAGUAACCGCCUCGCGGACGCUUUAAAUCUGUUCUGCGAGGGAAAUAAGCAAAGUAAUCAGGGAUGAAAGUCUGAAAUGCACAUGCAUGCAGUCACAGGGCUUGACACCGCCUGGACUGAAGCUUUGGACGGAUUCGCAGCGGUUUUUACCACACAAUAGUGUCCAGAUUGCCUCACUAGAGCUGUUUAUGUCGAAUCAUAAACUCGCCCCUGGGAACGAGACUACUCUCUUACACGAAAUACGUGUGUAUUUCUCUUCUUUUCCCUCCUGCUCCUCCAUUGCUUACUGGCGCAACAGCGUUUCAUUUGAACAGUCUCUCGUGCGCAUAGUGUUUAAUAUCAGCUUUAUUUGCCUUGCUUCUAGUUUGUCUGGGCGCAUACGAACGUAUAUAGACCGUUAGUGUGCAAUAUACAGAUAUUUCUCCACAUAAUCCCACACUAUCAAUGGGCUGUGUCCGAGCAGUUCAGACUCUUCAGCAGAGGUAAAUCACUUUCAAAAGCUCCUUACCUUCUUCCACAAGAGAUCUACCAGCCAGGGCGCUUCAAGUGACGUAACAAACCGGGAUGCGCGUGCCCGACACUGGCCUCCAUGACCGUCGUGACGUACACGAGCUCUUCUGCACUUCUUAUGCGAGGUGGCACCACAGAGACGAUGAUAUGCUGGUUAUGUACAGUGGGGUUCAAAUACAGUUUACUGCUUAGGAUAGAGACCUGUCUUCUGCACUCCAAAAGCGGUGAUGAAGAUGUUGAUGAUGACGAUUUUGUGUAUAAUACAUGAUGGAUUUCACUCUCACCCAUGUGGACAAAGAGAGCCCCCACGAGCACUUGGAAGAAGAGCGACGCGGCGAUGAGGACGAUGACAGUGAGGUAGUAGUUGAACUCGGGGCCCU